UUUUCCUCCCAGCUUCCGCACUCUUCAGCUGCAAAAUCUGCGACUCUGCAUCACGAAGACGAUCUUGAAGGGCCUUCUUCUCAGAAGUGAGCUUUGCAAUUUCCUCCGCUCUCUCAGAGCGAAGCCCCUCAAGCUGGUUCUCUAGGUCCCGGACUUGUUCAGAUAAUUUUUUCCUUUCUGGUGCAACACGAUCCAUCUCGGCCUUCAUCUCAGACCGCCAAUUACAAGCAGUGUCAAACAAAAACUUGCCUCGAAGAAUCGACACACCACGUUAAGGCAAUCGCGUACCUUGGUCAAGAAGUAAAGCAAAAUAGUUAGCCUUAAGACGGGGUUGUUCGUCGCCUCAGAUUCUCACUCAGUUCCUGUGAUUACCGCAGCUUUUUCUCUAACCCUACCGGAGAUCUCGGCUUUCCUCUCUUCACGCAGGCGUGUGUGAUUUCUUCUUCCCUUGGACAAAAGCUUAGUGCCGAAGUUUUGUUCGCUGCCUCGUUUGGGACACGCGUUCGGACACGCAGUCGGACAGGUGGAAGAUUGAAGCGAGGAAAAGAAAAGUGAACUAAAUUUGAGGGACCGGGGUUUGGGAGUGGACCGUGAGAGGACUUUUUCAAUCAGAAAAAUAAAUAAAUGAGGUUAACAAAAGUGAUUUCGAAAAAUAAUAGUAUUGAAUUUUGAACAAUGAUAAAUUUUGGUCAUUGCAUAAUAUCAUAGACUUAUUUAAAUAAGUUUAUUCUAAUUUUUUAUAGGCAAUAAUAUUAUCAAUAACUUUGUUAAAGUUUAAAACAUGUCUUCAGAUAUGAAUACGCAUUAAUUAUGAAUAUGUCUUUCAAAUUUUCAAUAAAUAGAUUUAUUAAUAAUAUUAUUAUAAAUUCAUUGUAGAUUCUUUCUAUUAUUUAUUUUUUUGUGAAUUUGAAUAAAAUCAAUUAAAAAUAAGAAUAUUUAUUUAAUAGAUAACGUGUCAGAUUCUUUAUUUUUAAGAAAUAAUGUAUCAACGUGUCAUGUCGUGUUGUAUAUUUGCGUCGUGUGUUCAUGUCGCAUGUUGCAUGUCAAUGCUAUAUCGUUCUUAAAUGCUUAAUUUGGUCAAUGUUGUUUAUGAACUAUUCAUAAAUGUUGGAUGUUUUCCUUCAUCUUACUCAAAUGACAAACCGGACUUCACUGGAUGAAAUGGAUUAUUAUAAAGAUGCGCUAAUAUGUCUAUCCUUGUAUCCAUCUACUUUGAAAAAAGAGAAAUAAAAUUAUAGCAUUAAUGUAUCCAUCUUUAUUUGGUGACUCGGAUUAUUAUAUCUUGAUUUCAGGUAAAUAUUUUACGUGGGUACUUCAGGUGUAGUUUUUUAUUAUUAUAAUUUUUAUCCACCAUUCCAAAUUAACGGAUUAGGGCUUGUUUGUUAAUGUUCUUUGUUUUUGUUUAUAAACAAAAUUUCUGUUUUUUUGUUCUAGGGAACAAAAAAAGAACAGAAUCGUAUUUGUUUGUGCUUUUGUUCCAAAUCUAUUCUUUUGUUCCUAGGAACAUAUUUGGAACAGAAACAAAAAACAAGAAAAACGUGUUUCUUGUUUCUGAAACAAUUUUUAAGAACAAAAUUUCUCUCUCUUCUCUUUUUCUUCUCUCUUUUUUUUUCUUCUUUAUUUUUCUUUUUUCUUUAGCUGGUCGACGGCCUCGGCCAUGGCUGGCAAUCGGCUGUUGAGGGCUGGCGACCUUGUUGGAGCGUCGCCGCCCCCUGGCGAGGCCCAGCGUUGCCGGCCCCCGAUAAGGCUGAGCGUCACCGACCCCUGGCAAGGCUCGGCCUUGCUGGCGUGGGGCAAAGCUGGGCGAGCUCGGACUUGCCCAAAUCCGGCGAGUCCAAGCUUGCCUAGCCAAGGCGAGGUCGAGCCUCGCCCAACCACAAUGAGGCCUCGACCUCACUGGGGGCCGGUGAGCCUCGCCAUGGCUGGGUGAGGCCGUCGACCAUGGCCGAGGUCAGCAACCGGCCAAAAGAAGAAAAAAAGAAAAAAGAAAAAAGAAAGAAAAAUAAAAUAAAAAUAUUAAAAAAUUAAAAGAAACAAAAAAAAAAAAACACAAUUUUACCAAGCGUGUUUCUAUUCAAUUUUUAUUCUCGGAACAAGUUUACCAAACACGUUUUUUUGUUAAAAAAUUGUUCUCCAUAACAGAAACACUUUUUUCUAUUAGUCAUUUUGACCAAUUUUAACUAGAAAAGGUUGUUCUAUGUGGCGCUAGCACUAAUAUAAAUAAUUUUUUCAUUUUUUCCUCAUCGGUCAAGAAGAGGAAAAUUUCAAAAAUAAUAAUAAUAAUAAUAAAAUUUACUCAUGUCAACUUAUUAUGUAUGAUGGCUGGUUUCUACAAUAGCAAUUUCUGACCAAUAUUGCCCAAGAGGACUAUAUUAACAAUUCGUGAAAAUAUUUAUGAUUAAAUUGGUAUAAUUGAAAUGUUUAAAAUCGAAUUGAUUGUCAUAUAAUAUAUUUAGGAUUUUUUAGACAAUUUUUCCAUUCAACGACAAUUGUGCAUCUCAAGAAUCGGCAUAGUCAACGUCUGAAUACUUUGGGGGCAAAUCAUGUGAAUGGGAGCUCCGUGUAAAGUUGCUAGUCAAGUUCUCUGCUAUCUUUCGUGUUGUAUGAAUUUCAAGAUGAGAAGAUUUGAAGAUGAUGAGGACGAUGCUUAUGGAUAGAUUAGGUGCGGUCUGAAAUUUUCAAUUGCUUAGUUACCACACACAAGCGGGUAUUAUCCACUUAGAAAAAGCAUGUGACGGAGUUUCUUGCCUUGUACCCGACGUGAUAAUAGUGGAUGAGGCAAGAACCGUGACGUGGCACGUCAUUGUUCAGCUCAGCUGACUCGUUCUUCCACAGUGGACUUUUUGCAAUCAUCAAUACCUAAUAUGGAUCCUGAGGCCUAAACCAUAAGCCGCUAUUUUCCUCAGAUUUCAGCAUGAUCCACACGUUGUUUCUAAUCUGAUUUGACAUUUUGGGAUUUCUAUCGUAGAUUCGUUAAAAGGCCCGUGUUUUAUUCAAGGCCCAGCAGUUGCGGCCUCAACUCAACCGGGGCACCUCUCGUGGAUCUCUUUUUUUGGCCCAUCGUUUCUAGAAGCAGACCAGCAAUUCUUGUUACCAUGGUUCAUAUCAAUUUAUGAUAUCUCCAUGUUGUCUCAAUAAGCCGGCGUUAGCUUCUAAUAAGCCACGGCCCGUUCGAGAGUUUUGAGCGAUGCUCGAGUCGUGUGGUGUCACCUGUGCUAAACACCUCGAAAGCAUUAGUAUUUAUAAGAAAGAAAAGUUCAGACUCUUAUCAAGGUUAACAGCUGACAGUCUUAAGAAACUGAGAUUGCACAUGACAAAAUUUCUGAAACAUAAAUUGAUUUCUGACUAGAAAUCAAUUUCUUAAUUUCUAUUCCAUGGACAAGUUUCUAAGCAAAGAAACCCAUUUGAUAACAACUCAAAAUUUCUAUUUCUCAAACAUAAAUCCGUUUAAUAGCAGAACAAAAUUUAUAUUUCUAGGAAUAGAAAUCGAUUAGAUAACAACAUAGGAAAUCCUCAAAUACAAAAUAAUAGUCGAAAUAAUACUAAAACAAUAUAGGAAAUCCUCAAAUACAAAAUAAUAGUCGAAAUAAUACUAAUACUUUACAAAAGUUGAAAUACAAUUUCAUGGAAUUUCCGGCAUAGUAUUAUCCAUCGUCAUUUUAUUAGCAAUUGAUUUCCUAAGCAUAUUUAUUGGGUUUCCCUCAUCGGUCAAUGUAUCGUUUGCAAGUUCAUCUUGCGUAGGAUCAGACAAGUACUGCGGAAGCAUGAAUAUGGGUACUAUCAAUGGCGCCUAUACAGCAUUGUCAUUUUAUCAAAAAGUAUUAUACAAGAUUAUCAACAAAAUAAAAUUAAUUGUGUAAGGAAUAUAUGAGAAUUCUACCUUAAAGUAACGUUUAUGGUUAGGAACCAAUCGGGGGAAGGUUGGUUUAUUUUGAUUCUCGAAUUGAAUCAGUUCAGUUGCUCAUCCCUAAUUUCUUUAUUGUUGCUCAAUGAACCUUUAAUGGCCCUUCCAUAGCAAAGAGAGAGAUUCUCUUGAAUCUCUUGCCUUCGAAUUAAAAUUCAAAAUUGUGUAACAAUUUAAUUAUUUUGAUUUUGCAAGAAUUUUGAAUCCGUAAAAAAAUAAGGUUAAAUUUCUAGGUACGUUUUUUAUCCAUCUAUCACGUAAGCAUUUUUUCUUCAAUUGGUCAUGUGCGUGCCUUUUCUAGGAGGAAAUAAUCCUAUUGUUUUUAAAUAAGCUUUUAAGAACUUUGGUCGCUUUUUGAAAAUUGGGUACCCAUUCGAUUGCUUUUCAUCCUAAAGAGAAAGUUAUAAAAAAAAAUUUGAAAAAAAAAACACGAGCAAAAUAAGAAAAAGAAAAUUAACAAUAAUUUGUGAAGUUGUGGUUAUGAGUGAAUUAAGUUAGCAAGAAAGCGCAAAGUUCUUUCAUAUGGUUUGAUUUCAGUUUCUGAUUUCUAUUUCAGAAACUGAGAAAUUAAAAAUUUAAGCUUCUGAUUUCUUCAAUUUCUCUAUUUCUGGAAUAGAAAUCUAUUUCAAUAACAGAGAAAUCAAAUUACGUUACCAAAUGGAUUUCUGUUCCAAACUUGUUCCCGAGAACAGAGAAACAGAGAAAUCGAGAAACAGAAAUUUUGUUAUGGGCGCCCUGAGUAUCUGCUCCACAAAUCACUUCUUCUUCUUUAGAGAGAGAAAGUGAGAGAAUAUGAGACACUUUUGCAAAAUUUGUCGGAACCUAUAAUUGAUCAUAUGAAGAAAUAUUUAAAAAAAGCACUGUUACUCCCAUUGGACUAGACACCAAUCUAAUCCCCCCCCUUCUCCGUCCAGCUAUCUAUCAGUCACAGCAGCCCUUUCACCAGCAACUCAUCCCAACAGUCCCGCCAGUCAAAAUGCCAAAUAAAUUCCAGUCUCAGAAAAUCAUCAUCCCUCCACUUUCAAUGCAAAACAGAUCCCAGGUGGAUAGGGUAGGGCAUCCCGCAAUGACUCCAGGGCUCUACUGGUGACUGAACCAGGGAGCCAUUGCACCGUUGACGUGCCUGUUGCUGUGGUGCAUCCCUAUGCCAUUGGGCAUGACGGAAGGGGGAAGCCCCACCGCCACUUGAGGGGGCGCGUUCGGAUACAACCCGUGAUUGUGCGGCGGUAGCUUGUGGGGACUCAUGAUAGGACUGCUAAGAGGGCUGCCCUUACGUUGUUGCUGAAUGGCGUGGAUCUGCCUAAGCCCUUCUUCAUGAAUGCGCGAGAUCGUCUCCAACUCUGUCAUUGAAAGUGCAUCCAGACCAGCACCGUACAGAGGAGCAUGCCUAGACAUUUCUUCCCGGAGUUGAGUAUCGAGUGAUUGGAUAUAUUCCUGCAAAGAGGAGGUGAAAUCUAAGCAACAAAGAGAAAGCAGGACAACCCAAAUUAAUACUAAAGCAUAUGCUUGAAUGAGUUGUUGGCACAAACCUGGUAGGCUUCCAAUCGUGCUUGCAUACCAUGAAUACGUUCUUCAUAUUCAGCAAUCCGCUCAUCUUUUUUCCGCUUUUCUCCUUCAGUUUGUCCCACUGUUUGUCUCAAUCUUCUAAUCUCGUCCUCAAGGGACUGCCGAAUCUCUUCUCUGGUCACAUUUUCCGUCGCAUACCGCUUCAGCUCUUCAUCAAAUCUUUUCCUCCCAGCUUCCGCACUCUUCAGCCUUUCAGCAAGGUCGUCCUUUUCCUUUACCACUUUCUGUUCCAUUCACAUAUUUUGGUUGAAAAGACAUCAAUUAGCAUAUUCCCUAAGGCAAGAAAAAAGGGGAUAAAUCCAGUUCAUCCAACUCCACCCUGGUCAUCCAAAGCAAUUCCCCAUGCAAUCUUCUGAAAAAACACUAGCCAAUAGAUAAUCUUUUCCCCCUCUUGAAGAGAUAGGCAACACAAAUAAACCAAAACCAAGACCUCUUGAUUAAGGAUAAAUUAAGCGACAGAAGCAGUGACAGCUAACCUCCAAUUUACGAGUCUUCUGCAAAAUCUGCGACUCCGCAUCACUAAGACGAUCUUCAAGGGUCUUCUUCUCAGAAGUGAGCUUUGCAAUUUCCUCCGCUUUCUCAGAGCGAAGCCCCUCAAGCUGGUUCUCUAGGUCCCGGACUUGUUCAGAUAAUUUUUUCCUUUCUGGUGCAACACGAUCCAUCUCGGCCUUCAUCUCAGACCGCCAAUUACAGAGAGUGUCAAACAAAAACUUGCCAUUGAAGAAUCGACACACCACGUUAAGGCAAUCGCGUACCUUGGUCAAGAAGUAAAAGCAAAAUAGUUACCUCAAGACGGUGUUGCUCGUCGCCUCAGAUUCUCACUCAGUUUCUGUGAUUGCCGGCAGCUUUUUCUCUAACCCUACUGGAGAUCUCGGCUUUCCUCUCUUCACGCAGGCGUGUGAUUU
rnacentral:lncRNA from 1 species